rnacentral:rRNA from 1 species
UUUCAGUGGCGAACGGGUGAGUAACACGUGAGCAACCUGCCUUUUACUACGGAAUACCACAAAGAAAUUUGUGUUAAUGCGGUAUGAUGCAUUUAAUCGCAUGAUUGGAUGUUAAAAGAUUUAUCGGUGGAAGAGGGGCUCGCGUCCUAUUAGCUAGUUGGUGGGAUAAAAGCCUACCAAGGCAAUGAUAGGUAGCCGGUCUGAGAGGAUGGUCGGCCACACUGGAACUGAGACACGGUCCAGACUCCUACGGGAGGCAGCAGUGGGGAAUAUUGGGCAAUGGAGGGAACUCUUACCCAGCAAUGCCGCGUGAGUGAGAAGGUCUUAUGAUUGAAUAGCUCUUUGAUUUGGGAAGAAAGAAAUGACGUUACCAAAAGAACAAGCCCCGGCUAAAUACGUGCCAGCAGCCGCGGUAAUACGUAUGGGGCAAGCGUUAUCCGGAAUUACUGGGUGUAAAGGGUACGUAGGCGGUGAGAUAAGUUGAAAGUGAAAGCCCUAGGCUCAACCUAGGGACUGCUUUCAAAACUGUUUUACUUGAGUGCAGUAGAGGAAAGUGGAAUUCCUAGUGUAGCGGUGGAAUGCGUAGAGAUUAGGAAGAACAUCAGAAGCGAAGGCGACUUUCUGGACUGUAACUGACGCUGAGGUACGAAAGUGUGGGGAGCAAACAGGAUUAGAUACCCUGGUAGUCCACACUGUAAACGAUGGAUACUAGAUGUAGGGGGUAUCAACUCCCUCUGUGUCGCAGUUAACGCAUUAAGUAUCCCACCUGGGGAGUACGGUCGCAAGGCUGAAACUCAAAGAAAUUGACGGGGACCCGCACAAGCAGCGGAGCAUGUGGUUUAAUUCGAAGCAACGCGAAGAACCUUACCAAGACUUGACAUUGAGUGCAAUUGCUAGAGAUAGCGAGUUCCUUCGGGACACUCGGACAGGUGGUGCAUGGUUGUCGUCAGCUCGUGUCGUGAGAUGUUGGGUUAAGUCCCACAACGAGCGCAACCCCCGUGGCUAGUUACCAGUAUUAAGUUAGGGACUCUAGCCAGACUGCCGUGGACAACACGGAGGAAGGUGGGGAUGACGUCAAAUCAUCAUGCCCCUUACGUCUUGGGCUACACACGUGCUACAAUGGCUACUACAAAGAGCUGCUAACUGGCAACAGCAAGCGAAUCUCAAAAAGGUAGUCUCAGUUCGGAUUGUGGGCUGCAACCCGCCCACAUGAAGUCGGAGUUGCUAGUAAUCCCGAAUCAGAACGUCGG